CAGACUUAUCCAUUAGAGGGUAGUCUACAGACUUAUCCAUUAGAGGGGUAGUCUACAGACUUAUCCAUUAGAGGGGUAGUCUACAGACUUAUCCAUUAGAGGGGUAGUCUACAGACUUAUCCAUUAGAGGGGUAGUCUACAGACUUGUCCAUUAGAGGGUAGUCUACA